UACAGAGGGUGCGAGCGUUGUCCGGAAUCACUGGGCGUAAAGGGCGCGUAGGUGGCGCGACAAGUCAGUGGUGAAAGUUCGACGCUCAACGUCGAAUCGGCCACUGAUACUGUUGGGCUUGAGCACUGUAGGGGCUAAUGGAAUUCCGGGUGUAGCGGUGGAAUGCGUAGAGAUCCGGAAGAACACCGGUGGCGAAGGCGGUUAGCUGGGCAGUUGCUGACACUGAGGCGCGACAGCGUGGGGAGCAAACAGG
rnacentral:rRNA from 1 species